GCACUGCUGAGGAGUUCCACAAUAGGACGAAACGGCUGUCCAGUAC
rfam:Schistosoma margrebowiei strain Zambia genome assembly, scaffold: SMRZ_scaffold0000968